CUGCUGCCUCCCGUAGGAGUCUGGUCCGUGUCUCAGUACCAGUGUGGGGGACCUUCCUCUCAGAACCCCUAGACAUCGUCGCCUUGGUGGGCCGUUACCCCGCCAACUAGCUAAUGUCACGCAUGCCCAUCCGUCUCCGGAGUCGCCUCCUUUGGCCGAAAGAAGAUGCCUCCCCUCGGCCACAUGCGGUAUUAGGCCGGAUUUCUCCGGGUUAUCCCGCUGAAACGGGCAGGUUGCAUACGCGUUACUCACCCGUGCGCCGGUCGCCGG
rnacentral:rRNA from 1 species